UAUAUAUAUAUACAUACAUAAUAUAUAUACAUAAAAAGGGCAUACGAAAAGAGACGCAGUAGACGUGUCCAAAAAGAAUAUUAAAAAAUACUAGAAUUUUCAUCAGUACAUAUGGAAAAAAAAUCGAAUGUUGGAACUUCUAAAAGAAAUGAUUUCUUAUCUUGCGAAAAUCUAAAAGAAUAUUUUGACCAUCAUGAGUCAUUGAUUUUGUACAAUGAAUACUCGUAUGACCAACAGCCUAAUGAGUAUAAGCAUAACCCAACUUUAAAGGAAAGUUUUUCUGCAUGUUUUUCUAACCAAGUAAUUAUGCACUAAACAAGUGGAUUGACAAAGAAUAGCAACAAAUUUAUUGUCCCAAAAAAAACUAUAAUCAAGCACUGAAAAACAACCUUUCGUCAACAAAAGAAUGGCAAAAAUUUCCAUUGAUAAAGUGUAAGAUAACAGAUAGUCAGUAUCUAACUUGUUUUGUGUUUUUUUUAAAGAGAUGCAAAAUGUUAUUCUCAACAAGCUUGCUGAAAUAAAAGUUCUUUUAAAAGAAGUUAUAGAAAUUAAGUUCAGGCUACUGGGGUGAAGUUGCUAGAAUCAGUGGACGAAGUGGCUACACUAGAUAAUAAACUAAAAGAUAAAACCGAGUAUACUAAUUUGCUUGAUAGUUUGAAAAAGAUUGGUGGUGGAAAGCCAAGAGAACAUGUUUUUUUGAUCAUGAAAAGUUUAUUGUUAAAAUAUUUAUCAGGUU